AUAUGGGUAAAGCCAAAAAGGUGCUCCAAAUUGGUCAAAUAACCAUUUGAAGCUUAAAUCCCAAUUUUAAAAUAUUUAAUAUAUGUUAUUUGAUUACAACUUGUUAUUGUGCAUCAGUGACAUGAUGAAGCAGAAGAUUUGAUAAAUAUCAAAUAUCCGCUAAUUCAAUGUGUCUUGUUAUUGAAGUUUGUCAAACGUAGAUCUGUACGUUCCUGUGUCCCAAGCGUGACAUGGAAACCCCCUUCUAACAAAAAAUAUACCUGGUUGUUUUUAUGGGCAAAAGAAAAACGGAAAGUAAGUUAAAUCGUCAGAAAAGUGUUGUUGCACUAUAAAUCCGUCAAAGUUUUGCGUGAAAUGCAGUAAAAUUAAUCAAAGAAACGAUUAUUUCGACAGGGUUAGUAAUGUUAUAUUGACAAUAGACUACUAUGGUAAAAAUAACGCACGGGGUUUUCCGCGAUAUCGUCAUCUGCGGAACAUUUGAUUGGUUCCUGUCAUAUUCAUGCGCCGUCGUAUCUCGGCUGUUUCAAAUAGUUCUAAUUUUGGUUUCGUAUUCCGUUUUAUGAGAAGCAUAGAAUGGCAAGUUUGUAAUGUCAAAAUAACGUAUAACGUACGUAAAUGUUUAUUCCUUAUUAUUAACGGGAAGAGUUUAUCCAGGGAGAAAUAAAAUACUUUGUUUCAUUUCAAAAUUGCUAUAUAUACGAAACUAAAUGUAAGCAUCACUAUCAUUCAUGGAUGAAAAUGGAAGAAGAACUCGAUGAUCUUUGAGAUAAAUCAACUGAGUAUGAACAGUGGAAUAGACAGCAGAAUGAACUUUAAAAUGUUUUUAAUUUGUUCAAAUAAAUGAUUUAAGGUUUGAUUCUUGAAUAGUGGUUUAAUUAUUAGUAUUCUCAUACAUUAAUCAUGUUGAUGUGUUUUAUACUUUACUUUCAAAAGUGUUGAUUUAAUAAGCUCUUGAAAAAAAAUUGUUGAAAACAGUUGAUCAAUAAAGUCACCAUCUGACAUAGCCAAGAGUAUCAUAACUGUACAUAUUAAAUGAGCAACCUUUGACCAAAGUACAAAGUCAGUUUAAGUGAGCCUAAUUAACAAUACUCCUAAAUACCAACAGUAAACAAUACAUUCCCCUGAAUACUGUGAGUAACUCAUUAAGUGUCUGUUUACCAUCAGGCUAUUAAGCUAACUCUUGCAGUGCACCGGAUGGUUUUAUUGGGUUAAAAGUAUGUCGGUUAAAAGCUCAUUAGAGCUCAUGUUGUCUCUGUUUGUAUACCUUGCCGACUCUAAAAUAAAGCUUAUUUAUUGGG